CGAGUACAAAUUUUCCCUAAUUUUCCCCUUGUUGCCCUAAUCUUCAUUGCAUCUCUUCCUCUUUUAUAUUUUCCUCUCCUCCUCUCUUCCCCUCAACUCUACUCUUCUCCUUCCUCUAGUCUUCCUUUCCGCUUCCACUGAAAUCUCAUUGCUGAACACAGAGGAAGAAACCCUUAAGCUGUAGAAGAAUGUAAUCUUCAGCUAUGUCGGACGAGGAGCACCCCUUCGAAUCGAAGGCCGACGUUGAAGCCUCCAAGGCCUACCCGCAACAGGCCGAAACUGUAUGAAAAAACGGUUACAUCGUCAUCAAGAACCGUCCAUGUAAGCUGCUCCUCCAAUGAAUGGAUUUAGUUGGGAUUGAGCUUGGAGGAACAUGAAUUUGUUGAUUCAACAUUUGUUGUAUUAUUUAUUCCUUUUUUGUUCUUUUCAACAUUAUGUUGGUCACUAUUCAAUUGUACAUGUUUUCUCUUUAUUGAGAGUUUUCUAAAUAUGGAACAUACACAGUGAUUGUUGCAGUAUUCAAAUAUGAGUUCUAAUUUUCUAUUGCGACUGAAAUAUGAGUUGUAUAUGCUAUUACUUAUGAAAGUCAUGAAUAUAAUGUUAUAUAUCUCA